UACGUAGGGGGCAAGCGUUUGUCCGGAAUCAUUGGGCGUAAAGCGCGUGUAGGCGGCUGAGUAAGUCUGCUCUGAAAGCCCAGGGCUCAACCCUGGGAUGCCGGUGGAUACUGUCGGGCUAGAAUCCGGAAGAGGCGAGUGGAAUUCCUGGUGUAGCGGUGAAAUGCGCAGAUAUCAGGAGGAACACCGAUGGCGAAGGCAGCUCGCUGGGACGGUAUUGACGCUGAGACGCGAAAGCGUGGGGAGCAAACAGG
rnacentral:rRNA from 1 species